rnacentral:lncRNA from 1 species
CGGUGACAUUAUCCGUCGCUACGUCUUGACCGAUCCGAAUCCCACCGCUUCCAUUUUGAUCAGAGGAACGGUCGUGAACGUCCGGCCAUCUCCGAUGGUUGCCGCGUUUAGCUCGCGGGGACCUAAUACGAUAACGCCAAACAUUCUCAAACCGGAUUUGAUAGCUCCUGGAGUCAAUAUCCUCGCCGCAUGGACCGGAGCUCUGGGUCCCAGUGGACUCGGAACCACUUCCGAUACUCGUCGCGUGGAAUUCAACAUCAACUCGGGAACGUCCAUGUCUUGCCCUCACGUGAGCGGUUUAGCGGCUCUCCUCAAGUCUGUGCAUCCGGAAUGGAGCCCCGCGGCAAUUCGAUCGGCUCUCAUGACCACCGCUUACAAUACCUACAAAGACGGCAAACCGAUCCUCGACGUCGCGACGGGAAAACCUUCAACACCGUUCGAGCACGGUGCAGGACACGUGUCGCCCACGGCGGCCGUCAAUCCAGGACUCAUCUACGAUCUAACGACGGAGGAUUAUAUAGAUUUCAUCUGCGCAUCGAAUUAUAAUUCGUCGCUGAUCACAAUCAUAUCGAGAGGCAAUUACGCUUGUCCAAGAAAAACGCACCCCGCAGCUGAUCUAAACUAUCCGUCGUUCGCCGUUAACGUCAAAGGAUCCGGCACGUACAAGUACACCCGCACUGUCACAAACGUGGGAGGAGCUGGGUCAUACUCGGUUAAAGUAACGUCGGAGACAACGGCAGUCAAGAUUUCGGUUGAACCGGCGGUUUUGAAUUUCAAAGAAGUGAACGAGAAGAAAUCGUAUUCGGUAACGUUUACCGUUAUCUCAUCUAAGGCGCCAAUGUCUAACAGCUUCGGGAGCAUUGAAUGGUCAGAUGGGAAACACGUGGUGGCCAGUCCCGUGGCGAUUAGCUGGACAUAGGUGGUCCAUGAAGAAAUAUGGCGACUUGAGUAAGAAGAAAGCAACAGAUAUUGUAAUUUCUCAUGAGCCUUGGAUAUUUAAUGAAAAGUAAAAAAUUGGUAAGUACUAUUUUAGCUGGCUAGUGUGUUAUGAAUAUUCUUAUUUACUAGGCUGUGGACAUUGUAGAUACUGACAAUUAUUAGAUUAGUUUAUGAGAUAUGAAAUAUACUAGGCACUUGAUUCACGUUGCAUGAAUGUGAACCACUCAACGUAGGAAACUAUCACUAAUCAAAUACAUCUAGUGUAUCAUAACAAUGUGAUUACGAUGAGUUAAAAAAUAUGAAUCUAAUAACAUAGAGAAAAAGUAGAAACGACUCUAAGAGCUAAUCAUAACCAACUAGAGGUUUCAUUUCAAGAACCAACAAUAACAAGUUCAUAAACAUGAGGUAAUAAAAGAUAUCAAUCGAAAUAAAUACCUAUCUUCAAACAAACUAUAAAAAUGUAUGGCUUUUGUUAAAAGCAAACUCACCUCUUUCCAGUACACAAAUUUGCAGAGAAAAAUCCAAAAAAAAAAAGAAAAGGAUAAAACAAAUUCACGAAUAGUAACUCAAUUUUGAUCAACGUCCAAUUAAAACCCUGAUAUGUAAUUUUAUUUUCAGAAACCCAUCGUGGCAUUAUCACUCAGAGACUAAUACAAUUGGACCAACCUGCCAGCUUCUGAUGUUGCUAUAUUUUUAUUUUUUUUCUGUUUUAUAAAAAUAAAAACUAAUGUUAAAAGAGAGAAUGUAUCCCUGUAUUGUUAACUAUUGAUAUGAUUUAGUUAGUCUGAUCUGAUGUGAAGACAUGUUAAUUCAUACCAUACAAACCAAAGUCUCAAAUUGCCACCCACAUUAUUUGGAUCCCAACCGUCAAAAGCAUUGGUUAGUUGGUGUCUUCGACGAAACUCAUUGAGAUCUUUGCAAAGUAGUUCGUUUCUUUGCUUCUGUCUUGUGAUGAGCCUUAAAGAUAUUAAUAGACUCACAACUUACAUAAACCCUAAACCUGAUUUUAAAGUUGAGGAGGAUCAUGAACUUUAAAGAUAUUAAUAGACUCAUAACUUUGCUUCUGUUUUGUGAUAAGUUACAGCAGCCGGACUAGGAUCUUCCACCAAUGAACCGAUGCAUGGCUCACACUAAUUUGCUUCUCUUAUCUAAAACAAAUUUCGGGGAAAUAAAGCGAUGAGUAGAGCUUAUUGAUGAUUUCCUCACUCCGCUCAGUCUCAGAAUCCGCUGAAAUGAUCUACACCUACAACAAUGCGAUACAUGGAUUCGCCACUCGGCUUACUCCCGGAGAAGCCGACUCACUCAUGACCCAACCUGGUGUCAUCUCGGUUCAACAAGAGCAGAAGUACGAGUUACACACCACUCGAACUCCAUUAUUCCUUGGUCUCGACGGACAAAACGCAGGACUAUUCCCCGAAACCGGCGCCUCAAGCGACAUAGUCAUAGGAGUUCUGGACACCGGUAUUUGGCCAGAGAGCAAAAGCUUCUCUGAUGAAGGAUACGGUCCAAUUCCAUCUACAUGGAAAGGCGAAUGCCAGGCUGGGACUAACUUCACCGCUUCGCUGUGUAACCGCAAACUAAUCGGAGCUAGAUUCUUCUCUGACGGUUACGAAAGAGAUUAUGGAAAAAUCAACCAAGCCGACGAGUCGAAAUCGCCGAGAGACGACUUCGGUCAUGGAACACACACGGCGUCAACCGCGGCUGGAAACGUCGUGAAAGGAGCUAAUUAUUUAGGCUUUGCUAGUGGGACGGCUAGUGGGAUGGCUCAUCGCGUCCGAGUGUCUGUUUACAAAGUUUGUUGGAAAAGUGCUUGCGUGAGCUCAGAUAUUUUAGCUGGAAUGGAUAAAGCCAUCGAAGAUAAUGUCCACAUUAUGUCAUUAUCUAUCGGUGGUAAAUCGACAAGUUAUACAGGCGAAAUUUCCAUGGGUGCAUUCUCGGCCAUGGAAAGAGGGAUCUUUGUUUCCUGCUCUGCUGGUAAUGAUGGUCCCAGCCCAUCCAGCUUAUCAAACGCAGCUCCCUGGAUUACUACUGUUGGUGCUAGUAGUAUUGACCGUGAGUUUCCCGGGGUUGUGAUCCUCGGCAACGGAAAGAACUAUACUGGAGUUUCGUUGUUCAAUGGAAAUGCUCUUCCUGCUAAAUUGUUGCCGUUUGUUUAUGGAAAUUAUUGUAGCCGCGGAACACUAAAUCCUGAGAAGGUAAAGGGGAAGAUCGUGAUGUGCAUCAAAGAUGACAGUGUAAGGACUGAGAAAGGGGAGGUGGUGAAAGCUGCCGGUGGACUCGGAAUGAUUCUGGCAAAUGCAGCAGGGAGCGGAGAAGAAGUUCUGGCGGAUGCUCAUGUGUUACCUGUGACCGCCGUGGGACAGAAAGCCGGUGACAUUAUCCGUCGCUACGUCUUGACCGAUCCGAAUCCCACCGCUUCCAUUUUGAUCAGAGGAACGGUCGUGAACGUCCGGCCAUCUCCGAUGGUUGCCGCGUUUAGCUCGCGGGGACCUAAUACGAUAACGCCAAACAUUCUCAAACCGGAUUUGAUAGCUCCUGGAGUCAAUAUCCUCGCCGCAUGGACCGGAGCUCUGGGUCCCAGUGGACUCGGAACCACUUCCGAUACUCGUCGCGUGGAAUUCAACAUCAACUCGGGAACGUCCAUGUCUUGCCCUCACGUGAGCGGUUUAGCGGCUCUCCUCAAGUCUGUGCAUCCGGAAUGGAGCCCCGCGGCAAUUCGAUCGGCUCUCAUGACCACCGCUUACAAUAC